GCACGCCACCACGUAGUCUCUUCGAUGUUUUCCGCGAGAACAAUUGCACUCCUCCUCCUGUGGAAUGCCAUAAGUUUACGAAAUUUAAAUGAAUCGACGAUCAAAAUCAUUUGAACUUGUUCCUCCGAUUUCGUAUCUAGAGAAAGCAUACUUUGAAAAUGUAUGAUUGCUGUGAUGAUUCUGGUUAAAAUGAUGUGUCGUGUUGAUUACUCGUGACACGUGUAAUCGGGAACAUGUGGGACAUGUGGAGUGUCUCCCUUUUCGAUUUCGCGGAGGAAUGCAACUGGUGAACGUUUCGCCCAUUUUACGGAGAAACGCGAAAGCUUUGCGAACUAAUCCGCUUUCAGAGCCGAAUUCUCCAUGUACCAAGUAUUAAGUACAUAAUUCCAAAGCUUCGAAACCUCAAGUAACUCUAACUCCAACGCGGACAGCGUCGGGGAAGAAAGCGUUUGAUUAACAAUGCAAGUGGUGGAGAAUGGUGGUGCUCUGCUUGGCUACUCGAAUUCGAUAGAAUGGAAGGAAUUUUUGGAAGGAAUUGGACUUUUAGUGUGAAACUUUCUUCUCUUGUACCUUUCAGAUGUUUUUUAAAUAUUAUUUAAUGUUACUUAAAAUUCGUAAAACACGAAUCGAUCGAAACUAUAAAAUUAUAAAGGGAGUAUAUAGAAGUAUUCGUAGAAUUAUAUAUAUAUAAUUAUAUAUAUUGUUUUCAAAAACCGUAAUUAUAAAACAAGGUUUUGUGUAAAUAAUUUACAUCAUCUUCGAUCAAAAUUUAAACGUUCAAACAAUAAAAUACAAAUUUCUCUCCGCUAAUUGAAAAUCGUUUCACCAUUCACCAUCCGCCGUAUUAAUUUGCCAAAUUAAUUAUCAUCGAUUUACUAAACGUUUCGUAAUUGUUUCAUUCGUUUCAAAACCAAUCGAAUAUAAUUGUAAUACUUGUUGCAGCUCGUGGACAUUGCAUACCUUUGAAAUGGUAAUACGCUGGUGACCGUUAAUAAUUCCAUCCGAUCUCUCGCCUGGCAUACCGGGGAUCGCAAAGAGGACGCGUCUUCGAAUUUCCUGCGGCCCGAAUGUGCCUGAAAACGAGGAUUAAAGCGAGAAUUUUGCGAGACCGAGCCGCUCUCGGAUAUCAAUGAGGGCCGAUGAAGAGAAUGCCCGGAUGAUUGGAUCGGCGUUGAAGCAAUUUCCUAUAAUUACCGGGCAAAGGUAUCGGUGCGAUGGCACAAUGGGCCUCGAAAUGGAGGCUGACCACGCCACGGUAUGGGCCAUGAUAUUCCAUAGCUCGAACAAUGUUCCACGAUCGUUGUCACUUUAAUCGGGGAAACUUGCACUCUGAUACCGCUGCCUUUACUUUGAUCCUUUGAGCGUGAAAUUAUUGGAGAGAAUCCCUGACGCGAAGAGUUUUUCAUAAAAUUGGAGAUUCCUGAUAUUUUGGAGAUAGUUUGCUCUUAGAAGCGAAUUGUACAGGAAUAAGAAUCAUUAUAAUUGAUAUAAGAUUUCUUCCAUUCAUCAUCGAAUUAAUUUGAAAUGUUUGAAUUGAAGAUAGUACGUCGUUUUGACAUUUUAUUAUCCUGAAAAGUGAAAAAUAUCGAUGAUCAUCACGCAAUCGUAGGAUAUCUCUAUCGUGAUAUCGAUCAGAACAUGCAUACGCAAAGAUUAAUCUUUCAUCGUCGAUAAUGCACACGCGUGAUCUCGAUAUCGCGAUUCGAUUCGAAAUUGAUUUUCCAAAUAUUUUUGUUUACCUUAUCGAUUGACUUCGCCAAUUGUUCGAGUGAACAAAGACAAUACCCAAACUUGUUCUCUCGCGCAGCGUUCGUAAUUACACCGUUGGAACAUUUCCGGCCUCGAAACUUUGAGGAACACCAUUGUCCUCAUUAAAACAUUCGGUCUUUUGUUUCGACCGUACUCGGGGACACGUUAAACCAACUUAUUUUACCGCGAAUGAAUUGAAAUUUACGAAACAAUAGCAUGUUCGUUUGAACGUUCGCGCGUUCGAUUAUUCCUUUUCUCGAAACAAUUAUUUUCGCAGAAUUUCGUCUUUCGAAAUACGAAAUAUCGAGUAAUCUUGACGACAAGAGGGGAAGUGUGUAGCAGACUAACUGACGAUCCACGAGGCUCCUCUCCAAAGUGGCAUGCGUUUAUUAUUAUAUAAAAUAGACAUAUAAACGAUACAUCGUUAUGUACACAGAAUACAUAUAAAAGAUAGAGCGAUGGAGGUACUAGCGGUAUAUGACGGAGAUCGUGGCGCGGUCGGUUUCAAAAUGGGAGGCGUCGGAGGAGAUCAGUCGAAGAUGCGUAUCGUCCAACAAGUGAGCAAGGGAUUACCAAUGUCCAUCAGCGCGAAGGAUACUUCCCACACCAGCCGGUCCAGCGGCUAUGCUGCCCGACGGUCCAGCGAUCAAUGCUGGAGCGGUGAUAGGGCCGGCGAGGGCUGCUGGAGGUGCUGCGGGUCCAGCCAGAACAGCUCCUAGAACAACAAAUUCUCCUCGAUAAAAUAACGAACAAAAUAAUCGGUGAAAUGUGCGAGUUGUGUCGUGUCCAGGCUCAAUUCAUCUAUCCAUUGUGAACAUUGUGUGCCUACUAUAUUCUAUAUAUUUUAAAGAUUAAACUUCCUAUCUGUGGUUUAUCACAACUCGUAGGAUUUUACUCACCCCAGGGAAGGGCGUGUGCGGCUGGCCAGUGUGCCGCCGGCCAGGGUGCAGCGUGGCCAGCAACGCUACCGGAAACUAGGGAAGGCCCAGCAACGGCUCCCGUCACGACAGCUCCACCGUCCACGGCUCCGGAGAGGCGAGCGGGUCCAACUGCGGGUCCGGCGAGGGCGGCAGGGCCUGCAACGGGGCCGCUGAGGGCAGCCGGGCCUAGGACAGGGCCGGCCAACGCUGCUCCAGGCGCCAGAAGGCCGGACGGGGCGGCCUCGGCCAUCGAGAGGGCCGCGACGAGGAAGACCGCUGCGAAGGUGCGCAUGUUUGAGAAGGGCUGUUUGUUCGAAGGGCUUGCUCGCUUCCAAGCUGGUGGAACAGUUUGCCUCGGUGGCUCGGGUGGAUGUGCUGUCACUUGGCUGGCUCGAUCCCGCUUUUAUACGGGCAUUGUCUACACACUGCUGGCCGCCCAAUGCUCCCGCCAACCCCCCAAGGGCGGGGCACAGGACACGCCGAACAUUCUCUGGACGCGUGGCCGGUUUCCUUCUCGCCGGCUUAUCAGCGUUAUGAGAGUCGGCGGCGACAACGGCCCACCCGUGCCCCCGGAGGUCGCCCGCUCCAAUUCAGACCGUUGCAUCCGUUUCAGCGAUUGCUUUUUUUCAUUUCUUUCUUUCUCCGUUUCUUUUUCUGAGAUCGCAUUGCCCGCGCUCUUGCGUACAACACGGCUACUCCGUCGAGCAGAAAGAUCGACACGCAGAUAGUUCGCAAGUUUGACUGUUUAAUGGGUUGAACGCGGGUAGUCACGGUCUGGGUGGUUUCGAAAAAUGCGCAAUUGGUUGGUUUCCAAGUUUUUCGGCGUUCGUCGAAUGAGAUAUGUCGCGAUCCUCGAUUUGGAUUUAGACGAUUCAACAGCAAUCUUUUUAAAUUUACGAUUCGCGUAUAAAUAUUGAGGCUAAAAUAUUUUUAGAUGUGGAAAUUGGAUAGGAGAAUCCAUCGAAUAAACAUUGGGCAAGGCGAUUAUUCCCAUCGACGGGAUGAACGGAGGAACCUGUCAGGGUCGAAGGAACCUGUCGUCGCGACCUUCGCGGUCGAAGAAGAGCCGUUUCAUCUUUCAUCAUCCCACGAACGAAGAGGGAAAUCCUGGUAGGAGGCCGUUGUUCGUUUCUGAUAUCCGCAUUGUGCAUCCGUUUAGGCGAGGCACUCGGUUGCCCACGCGCCUGGAUUGUCGCCUGGAAUGACGGUCUCAUUGUAGUCGGAUACGCGUGUGUUACGGUGGGCACCAGCCUCGCAAUGGAUCACCGAGCCUCGUGCCACGGAUCGUUUCGAAUAUCAUUGUUGGGCGUAGCGCGCACUUUCGAAGGUGGUAAAGGUGACCGGCGACGCGAUUGUUCGAAUAAUUGUUCCCAGGCGGAGGCCAAGUCCUUUAAGGGGGACGGAUUUAAUUGCGCGCCUGGUCCGAGGGAAGAAGAAAGAAAGAACCAUCUUUUUCUCGGAAUAAUCUCUCCGGUUCUUGAAAAGAUUGCUUUUUCUUCUUGAAUAAUUCAACGGAGCGAAGGAAAUCUUUUGUAACUUGUCAUUAUAUUCUAUAUUAUUUUAUAUUAUUAUAAAGGGAAUCGAUCUGGUAAGGAUCUCUCGCUUCUUCUUUUUCUUUUUCAUUUCUUUACCUUCGAAUAAAUUUAUUCCUCUUCGUUCCAUUCGAAUUAAUCUCUCCGUUAUAAUAUUUUCUUAUUUUUGCUUCGAGAAUGAUGUAUGUUAAAUUUUGACUCGAUUCAAAAGGGAAAGAUUGCAUCGCGAUUGCUUCCAUUUACGAGCUUUAAAAAAUUGUAUGCUGGAAGAUUGGUGUUACGCAGGUGUUGGGAUCAGAUAUCGAAGAUCACGCGAUGUCCAGUCGUUUACGGGGAGAAUCGAGAACGGGGACAUAUUUCUUGGCGUGACAGGUGCAUAAAGGAGUGACGGAUCAAGAACGACAAGGAUAUUUGAUUUACGGUCACAGGCUAGUUUUACACGCGACUAUGCACCUUUUUCCAGUGUGGCUGGAUAGAGAAUUUAGUGGAAAAAUAGCGGAAACAGACCGACAGAUGCGUAGCUCUUGUUUUUCGAUUGCGUGUCCCUUUUUGUCGCCAGAAAUAAUGCGCAUCGUUGGAUACGUGUAACCGGUUUACGAUUACAAAGUUCGAAAUAGGAGAUAGAAGAGGAUUAUCAAACCAUUUUAGAAACGGGAUCCCCAUUGUCUCAACGCUCGAAUAACGUUUGUCCACGAUAUUGUUUUCCAAUUUUCCAGCGUAAUUUUCAAUUUACAGGCAAUUUGGAAAUAGGCAAGCGAUAACAAAAUUUACACGAAAAUACUGGGAAUAAAAACUAUUGGAACAUCGAUGUUAAUCGAAGUUGUAUUGACGGUUAUGUAUUGGCAAACAGAUUUUGGAUUAAAACUAAUUGAAAUGUCAGUUUCGAUUAAAUUGUAAAUUAAAAUUUAGGUAAUAACAAUUAAUCAUUUUGUGUUUUUAAUACACACUGAUAAGUUGAUAUUGAUUCGAAAAUGAAUAGAAACGAAAGUGGAACAACGAUUUAAGGUAGGAAAGAAAAGAAGAAACAAAUGAUUAGUAUAACUCCAGAUCUUUGAUAUCUUUCUUAAUUUCCAUCGAAUCUUAAUCCCUUUCCGAAAAAUAAAACUUAUUAAAAAUAUAAUUUUACACGUUAUAUAAAAAGAAAGCCCUUUAUCUUAUCAAAAGUGCAUAUCCCUGUAUAAUUAUAAAAGGGAAGUACGUUGCAAGAACGUUGUCUAAGGAAGAAGUUGGGAAACACUGGUAACGCAUUGUUAUUUCAAUAUCUGAACGCUGAUAGAUCAUUAUUAUGUCCCGCAUGGGUGUGGUGUCACCAGUUCGAUCCAAUAUUGCAUCACCUUAUUUACACCUUUGUUGUUACAGGAGAAAACAGGAGCUUUUUCACCCCGUCACGGUCCACCAGGCCGGGGGCCAGCACAGCCCCGCCCUUACCCCCGAUAAGUUCACCGACCCACGUGCUCCCGUGUGUCGCCUAUAAAAGCUCACUUACCAUCAACUUGCACGCCAAUGUUCCUCCGUGAUGGCCGAUGGAAAGUCGCUGCUCGGAAUCUCGUUGGCCUCACUCGUUCAAAGGGGGACGUGUCACCAUUGUCCACCUAUCUCUACCGGAUAGAGAAGUCGAGAAAUGCCGAGGGCGUGAUCGAUGGAUCGUCGAGAUUCUCAAAAAAUUGGCCUCCCUAUUCCCCGAGGAGACUGCUGCGUUACUGGGCCAACCGAAAUGGACGAGCCUCGAUCCUUCGUUCCAACGCAAUAGCGUCGACACCCGCCCGCCAUCCACUUCGUCCAACUUUCGGGCGAUUCAAUGGAUGUGAGAGGCGGGUGGAUGUGGGAGGAGCAGCGCGUCGAAGGAUUCAUCGAUCGGCCUUCCUCGAUCUCCGCCAACCCAUUAUAAACAGACAACCGUAUCUACCUCGUUAUCGGCCACACCUUCUUUCUCUCGUCCCUUGACACCUCGCGAAAACAAUCCGGAUCUCUCGUUAAGGUUCGGUUGCCUCAUAGCAUGGAUCAUAGAUAUGGCCGGCUUGUAAUUCGUGACAGGAUAUAUGAUUUAUCGUGAUCUGUGACGAGAGUAAGAGAAAGAGAGAGUGGAAUUGGGAAAGAUUUUGAAGUUUUUUUUAAUUUUAUUUAUAAUCACGUUAUGGAUUAAAAAUUAUAGUGUAAAGUGAAAUUUUCUAUUCAUUCAGUGUUUAAGUAAUAAUGUAUAUUUUAUCAUAUAGAGAGGAUCGUUGUAUGUAUCAAGUUUUUUGUAAUAAAUGAUUCUUUGAUCACCGAA